GUGGGGAAUAUUGGGCAAUGGGUGAAAGCCUGACCCAGCAACGCCGCGUGAAGGAAGAAGGUUUUCGGAUCGUAAACUUCUAUCCUUGGUGAAGAUAAUGACGGUAGCCAAGAAGGAAGCCCCGGCUAACUACGUGCCAGCAGCCGCGGUAAUACGUAGGGGGCAAGCGUUGUCCGGAAUGAUUGGGCGUAAAGGGCGCGUAGGCGGCCCGGUAAGUCUGAAGUGAAAGUCCUGCUUUUAAGGUGGGAAUUGCUUUGGAUACUGUCGGGCUUGAGUGCAGGAGAGGUAAGCGGAAUUCCCGGUGUAGCGGUGAAAUGCGUAGAGAUCGGGAGGAACACCAGUGGCGAAGGCGACUUACUGGACUGUAACUGACGCUGAGGCGCGAAAGUGUGGGGAGCAAACAGGAUUAGAUACCCCAGUAGUCC
rnacentral:rRNA from 1 species